rnacentral:rRNA from 1 species
UACAGAGGUCUCGAGCGUUGUUCGGAUUCAUUGGGCGUAAAGGGCGCGUAGGCGGCGUGGCAAGUCUGAUGUGAAAUCCCGGGGCUCAACCCCGGAACUGCAUUGGAUACUGCCAUGCUAGAGUACUGGAGAGGAGAUUGGAAUUUACGGUGUAGCAGUGAAAUGCGUAGAUAUCGUAAGGAAGACCAGUGGCGAAGGCGAAUCUCUGGACAGUUACUGACGCUGAGGCACGAAGGCCAGGGGAGCAAACGGG